UAGACAGAAAGCCCUAACACGCAGGAGUUAAGGCCAAAGUAAACUGUAUUUUGGCCAGGGAGCGAGGGACAACACUUUGGGCUGGAAUGUCACAUAUUAAUAGACACAAAGAAUGAUUUUCUGCCAAAGCUUAGGGCUGUAUGCCAGAGCUGCUGCUUCUCCCUGGACUUUUAAAUUUUUGAUCCUCACUACGUAUACACAGAACCUCUUCUCUCCUCUCGGGACAAUGUAACACAAGUCUUUGUCCCAUGGUAUCCCUAUGGGCUCCUGCACAGCACCCCUCCUCUCAUCAGGAUGCUCCAGUACUUCAGGUCCCUCCUAGUGAACCAGGGGGGAGAUUCACAGGACUCACCAUGUGUCAGCAGGGCCAACACCAUGGUCACAGUGUCACAAAGGUCACAGCAACUGGGCAAGCUCCUGAACGAAACUCAGCAGCCACCAGCAGGGCAGACCCAGCAAUUUAAAUGGACAUGCUCAAAUAAGCCUGCCACCACUGAAAAGAUGGAUUUGUCUACAAACUCUGGGAGCCCCUAAGACAGCAGCAACAACCUAUAUGCAUUCCUGGACAUGAAACGCUUUUGAGGACCUGCUAACCAGUAAAGCUUCCCAGGACCAGGUCUACAGCAGUGUUCACCCACAGCAGAACUCUUUAAGAUACCUGACUGGUGCAUUAACAAACCAGCACUCAUCUAUCUGCCUUGUAGACAGUUACAUCACUUGAGGGUUAUAGCAGAAGCUAGCAAAGCCUCAGUCCUGAUCCAAGAUGAGUCAUGGAGCUCCGGAGGCCAUGUAACUUCCUUCUGAUACCAUCAACCAUGCCUUACACAGCUAAAAAUAAAGAUGGGCCAAAACUGCAGAGACAUAUCUUGCCUCAACUCGAAACUUAGCAAUGCUCAGCGCUGCUGAAAAAUUACCUGAGCAGGUGGAAACCAAAAUGUGCAGGGAAGCCAAAAGUUUAGGGUGUACCAAGAAGGGAGAGGCCAGGAGGCCUCACCCUGUGCCACACUGGAGGGCUGGAGGAUGGUGGUGGCAGAUGGCAAGUAGCCAUCCAGCCAUACAAAGGUGGCCAGAGCCAGGACCUCAUCUUACUCAGCUGUGGGCUUUGGAGU